GGAUGUUCCUAACUCCUGUCUCAUCCAUCACCUCAUUGAAGCUGGUUGGUCAGCCAGAGAGAGAGAGAGAGAUAGAGAGAGGGAGACCUGGAGCCUUCAGUCAAUCCUGCAGCCGGUACUCAGGAAAGUGCUGACUCCAUAGACUUCCCAAUUGCUGGGUGUCUCGUCCAACACCUCAUUGAAGUUGAUUGGUCAGCCAGAGAGACAAAGGGCAGAGAGAUCUGGAGCCUUCAAUAAAUCCUGCAGUGAGGUACUCAGGAAAGUCCUGACUCAAUAGCCUUCCCAGCUGCGGGGUGGAUUGUCCAUCACCACAUUGAACGCAGUUGGUCUGCCAGAGGGAGACAAAGGGCAGGGAGAUCUGGAGCCUUCAAUAAAUCCUGUAGUGAGGUAUUCCUGAUGUCCCUGACUCAGCACAAUUCCCAAUUCCUGUCUCGUCCAUCACCACAUUGAAGACGGUUGGUCAGCCAGAGAGAGAUGGAGAGUGAGAU